AUGCCUUGGUCUUUAUGAUCAAGGGUAUAAAAAGCAAAGUGAAACAACCUUUAUGCUUUUCAUUUUGCCAAGGUGCCACGAAAAGGACGAUUUAAAGAAGCUGAUCAAAACAAUAAUAAAAGAAAUCUCCAAUACUGGAUUGAUAGUUAUUGCCACUAUAUGUGACCAAUCAGCCACAAAUAUUUCUGUGAUAAAAGUCUUCAAGAAGACACAAAACGCAAAUAUUUACAAGAGGGUAAUGAAUAUAGGACCCAAGCCUUCGAGUUUGAAGACCAAAAGGUCUUCCCAUUAUUUGAUCCUCCACAUCUUUUAAAGGGAAUGAGAAAUAAUUUACUCGCCAAACAUUUGAAAUUUGUACAAGAUGGGAAAACAAAGUAUGCAAAGUGGGAACAUUUGGAGAUGCUGUUGAAGUUAGAUGUUGGGGAUGAUGAAAUUAGGCUUGUUAAUAAAUUAACAGAAAACCAUGUUAAUAAAGAGAAAAUUCCAAAAUGAAAGUGAAAUAUGCUGCACAAGUUUUCAGCCAAAGGGUAUCAUCAGCAUUGAGAUUCUUAGCAAAACACAACCUUCUUCCGGCGGAGUGCGAAGAAACUGCUGAUUUUCUACUCAUUA